AGCUGUGGGAGUGACUCAUGUGGUGGAAGACACAUUGAGGAUGACUGGAUGUGGAAGCUGUGGGGGCCAGAAGCUUCAAGGCAGACCUUGCUGAACAAAGACUACCAGCUGAAUGAAUAACACCCAUUUACCUGCAGUGUUGAACUAGACUCUUCAGAGAGAGAGAAGGCCACACUGUGUCCCCUCAGAAACUUACUUCCCACGUGAGCUAUGAUGGGAUUUGAACUAAGGUCCUCAGAUGCAGAAGGCUAACGCCUCAACUCCAACAUGUGUCCAUUUGGGUCCAAACAACAUGUUCCUUUUUUGUUUGAGAAAGAUUAAACAUGGAACUGACUAGCUCAGACUGAAAAAAGGAAGCAAAGAUGGUGCCAAAAGAAUUUUAAAUCGCACCGGGCAGGGUCUCAGAAUGUCAACAAUGCAAAGCUGUACUGGAAAUAUGGGCUGCCAGUUCACAUCAGUAGAACUAUUGGGAUAUUCAAGAGGUUCAAAGAAUGCUUCACUGCAAAUCUGCAUCAGAUGUACCUCAGUGAUGACACCUCCUUAGAAGGCUAAUCCAGCUGACCAAAUGAAGAAGAUAUUUUACCAUCACGCAUCACGUGAAAGAUCCAUAUCAAACUAGAAUGGGUAAAGCCCUAGCAAAUAUACUAAAGGACACAAUCCUGCACUGGCCAGGGAGAUGCAGAAGAUCACCAAAUUGGUCAUUUCCACUUCCAUUUCUGAAGCACAUGGGCCUGAUUCUGCUCCCACUUACAUGGGUAUUACCUGUGUCAUUCCACUGACAUCCAAGGAUUACUCCCAAAUGACACCAAGGGCUGCAGGAUUAUUAAAGGGCCAGGACUGUACUGUUAUGUGAAGCAAGUGUAACUCCUAUAAAAUUAAAUGGGCGCAAAACAUCCAGCUGAGAACCGGCGAGGAAUGCAAGUGCCCUGAAGUUCCAGCUCUUUGUCAAGGGGCUGGGUUUCAUCUCCUGAUUUCGUGAUGCACUUUGGUACCAAUGAUGAUUAUGGAUAGAGAAAGAGAGACAGUCUCCAACGUUUGCCGCUGGUUGGUUGUAGACACGUUUCAUCACAAGCAGCAACACCACAAGAAGUAUCAGCCAUAUUAAAACUGUGCUGAGCAGAAAAGGAGAUUAUGGGACAAGUCCAAGAGCCUGAUCCUGCAAGCCAUAUUUAUGUGAGUGGUCUGUACUCUAGAAAUGGUCCCACGGAAGUCAAUAGGACUUUGAGUAAGAAGUGUUUGCAUAAGUAGGGACUGCAGGAUUGUGCCUCUACUGUUAUUAAGAUACAAAACUAAAUGUAAAAUUUUAAAAUCAAAAUAAGUACUAAAGCAAUUCUUACGUAACCCUGAAUGUAUUGUUUUUUCCUCUCAAAACAAAAUUUGUAAUGUGCCUUAACUUGUAUAAACAAUUGGACUAUUUCAAAAUCAAAAAUCUAUCCAGUACUGGCUUCCAUCUCUUCAAUUCCCUUCCCAUUCUUUGGGAUUGUGUUCCUAAUUUUCCUCUUUUCUUCUUAACAGUGGAACUAGGCUUGUGGCCUAGGCACUCUUUCUUGUACAUGUGGAUUCAAAAUAUUUUAUUCCACAGACCACAAGAAAGGCACCAUGGAUCAUUGAUGACUCCCAGACUACAGCGUGAGACCCACUAUCUAAAUGCAACUCACUGAAUAAAAUAUCCCCUUUAUGUUUGUCCUUUCCAUUAGUCCUGUUUACGUGGUUUUGCUGAGUUUGAUUUGAGAGGUAUUAAAAACCACUAAUAGAAAGUCAGUAUACGUGAAGGAAUUCACAUUGGCCUUGUUUCAGGAAAGCAUGUACACACAUGCUUAAGUCAAUCAUGAAAACAUGUAUGGGAAACACAUCUGGGUGCUCCCUUUCCAUUGGAAGAAUGGGAGCAUUCUUGUGCUUUAAGGAUUAAAGCAAUCUCUGUCCAUAGGGCAAGCACAAGAUCUAUGCACCCUGUAAGCCUUCAAAUAGGAGUCAGGUCUCACUAAAUUGUUCCACACACCUAAUACUGUGUGUCUAGAUGCAGGUAAAUUUUACCCUAACAUAAUAAAUAAAUAAAUACAGUUUAAAGUACAUUAGUUCUGAUUCAUGAUCUUUAUUAGACUUCAAAUAAACACGUCAUGUUGGAGCUGAAGUAACACUGACAUAAAUAUAUUGUGGAACUGUGAAAAACCACAAAAAUAGUGGGAGGGAAAAUAGACAACAAAUGAUCAUUCAAGUCUAGGAAGAGAAUGAAAAUCCUCCACUAGUUCUUCUGGGUUUCUCGCUGGAAGAUUAUUUUUUUCACAAACAGCUGUCUGCAUGUUAAUGAGUGGCCUGCUCUUCUCUUAGGAUCUAAUGUACUGACAUAAAACAGAAGAAAAAAACCUCAGUUCUGGGGCUUGUGUUUCCCUCCAAGUCUAUUCACUGUAGUUCUUCCCUGCUGUGACAGGCCACCCUCACCCCUACCUGGCUGGAGUAUUUUAUUUCUCCUGUGGAGUCUUCUAUCAUUUCAUCAAAAAUAGUUCAAAAUAAAUCCUCCUCUAGUCCAUGCAUUCAUCCUCUUAUCAGAGCUCCUCCCAGGCCUUUCCUGCCUGUAGUCUGUCCCAACCAAGACUCAGAAGUCUCUGAUCUCCCUGAGCAUCUCCCUCCUCGGGAGCUUCCUGCGGGGGUUUAGAGGGAAAUCACCUUCUCCCUGCUCAGGUGUGCCUGCUUACUAACAGGCUGCAGUCCUCUAGCCUGUAAAGGAGCAAGCCUCCAUUACGCUGCCUGUUCUUUUUUUCUUGAACAAUUUGGUGUAUCACAAGGCACUGGAAAUCAGAAAAGAUUCCAAUAGUAUAUAACUGGCUUCCAGAAGUUUCACUGGAUGCCAUCAAGGAAAAUUUCAUUUAUAGACUGAUAAAAAGUACCCUUUGAUAGGACAGCCAGUUAGCUGUAAAAUCCCUCUUGGUAGCUGUUCUUUACUUGCUUUACCUGUAAAGGGUUAAAAAGUCCCCCAGAUAAAGAAAAAAAAAGUGGGCACCUGACCAAAAGAGCCAAUGGGAAGGCUAGAACCUUUUAAAAUGGGAAAAGAAACUUUCUCUUUGUUUGUGGUAGCUCUCUCUGGGCUGCAGGAAUACAAAGCAGCAAUGGUAUAAGCAGAAAUACUGUAUAAGGUUUGAACCAGAUCUCCUCUGGAAGUUGUUCUAACUUGCCACAGGAUGUCAAACUGGCUGCAGGCCAGUUCCAUGAUCUGAUGGAGAGUGUAUAAAGCAUGGGGGAAUCGGUCUGUCUUGGAGGAUUUGCAGGAUCUAAGGAGGAAUAAAAAUGCAAGAAACAAUGGGGGAGCAGGUGGGAGUUGUUAUUGUGGGAUGGGAGAAGAGCAGGAUUAAAAAAAUAGUCCCUUGCAAGGCUCUAAUCUGGAACUCAUUUUACCUGAACUCCCAAAUUCAUGGGGUCUCAGAUAAAUGAUUCUGGUUUGUCCAGUCUCUGAAAAUACUGUUUGUUUGUUUUUUUUGUUUUUUUUUUUUAAUCCAUGCGGCAAACAAUUUCAUAUCUUCCUCUUCUGCCUCAGGCUACUGAAAAGAAUUGAAAUGAACAUGAUGUUUUGCAUUUAAAAGGACAACAGCCAGGAUCCCAAUUCUGACCUCCACUUUCUCUUCCUUAUUUAGUAGCUGUUUGCAAAGUCAGUGCAACUCUUUAUAUGUGUCAAGUAUCAGAGGGGUAGCCGUGUUAGUCUGGAUUGGUAAAAGCAGCAAAGAGUCCUGUGGCACCUUAUAGACUA